AGUCUCUUUGUGGCUGUAUGUGGUUGGAUUGGACUAUGAAGGACUAGGACUAUGUAAAUGUGCUGUAUUUGUGCAUAGGUAUAAAUCACCUUGAUACAUAAAAUUGGGUGGAAACAGGCUGUGGGCGAAAAAUGGUCAAACCUGUAUGGGGCACACAGGUAACCUGCACGAAAUGUCAUGUUCGUCGAGCGGUGUGUGAGCCUGUACAACAAAAUGUUCUUGCAGAAGUUUCUACUUGCAUGCUGCAGACAACAGUGAACACUUAAACCACACAUAAGGGUAAAUAAGAGGGAGGUAGGUGAGACCCUGGUCUGUUGUAUGAAUCUCAAAUCCUGCAGACUAUGCAGGGACUCUGCAGCCUGACUGUUACAAAUGAGGAAACUAGACAAUCAGAGUGCAGUUUGUGUGGACGUCCUACUGGUGCUUACGUAGUUGUGUGCGGUCAGUAAGGAGCCAGUACUCACACUUUACUCACGACUAGAAUGUUGCAUAAGGACGCCGUACGAAACGUCAUAAGUGUGUAGGAAACUUUUAAUAUCAUUGCGAAUAAUUCACAACAAUGGUACGUUCCUCACAGGGACUGCAAGACACCCCUUGAGAUGUGGCCACUGCUCUCCAUGACCCUCCACCGACCCGAUCAACCCAAAAAACCACAGAAACUGUUCCGGUCAACCAGCGUGGAGUUUAUGGUAUCAAAGUCUGCUCUCAGAUCCAGCAGCAAUUAAAAUCCAGUUAUAGUUUGACAGGAUUUUUCUCCAAAAAUAGUUCAACUUUGACAGAUUUUGACAAAAUAGUGAGUCCUGUUUUGCAGUUACCUGAAAAGUUAAUCUUAUUUCUAUUAUUUUUCCUGAUCUUGAAAAUCAUCCAAAGACGUUAAAGUUGCACAAUGCUGUUGAGCCGCAAAUACUUUCCAUAAACCGCCAAAGUAAAAGCAGACUGCAGAGGUUUCCAUUCUUCAUUUAAUCCCUGAUGAAGGUUACAAGAACAUCUGUUGAUCAGAGUUUAGUCAUGGUUAAAAAUUGUUUUCUUUUUGUCUUAAGAGGCUUUUUCUUUGUUUGUUCAUAAUUUAAGACUUCAAGGAAUCUUUUAUGUGACCUGAUUAACUGUUUAAUGAUUAAAAGUUCUGCAUUCAAUUAUUGUUAAACAUGAACUUUCUUCUUCAAUUAAGUCCACUUCAAUCAAUAAAAAAUUCAACCUUAUUCAGGGGGUGAACAAAUGCCGGCUUUUGUCCGUGCGCCUUUUCCCGCAGAACAGCUUCUCCCACAGGUUUCUAACAACUUUCACUUUCUGCUCUGAAAGAUUCCAUCAUCAUUAGACUCCACCCCAUUUUUUACGCAUAUCAGCACAUCCUGCUGUUUUAUUUCUAACAAUCAUUUCCUGACCUACUGAGACACAACUUCUCCAUCAUCUGAACCUUCAGGAUGUCCUUCCUCUUCAGACAUUUGACGCUGAUGUUUGUGCUUCUGCGUGGACUCUCAGCAGAUGAUGUUGUGUCACUAAACUGUACCCGAACAGUGGAAGUUACAUAUGGAGAGGAUCUGACUCUUAGUUGUGACAUUGAAUGGAAACAAGCUAAUUACUGUGAAAUCUAUUCAAUUGAGUGGAAAGACACAGCCGGGAGCGUUUGUAAUAAGAACACUUCUUACUUUGACAAUACCUCUGCCUCACUACAAAUGUUUAAUGUCACUGGGGAGAAGAUCAUCAGCGUUAUCAUUGAUACUGAUUGUGGCAUGGAUUCUGUCAGUAUCAGCCUGAAGAUCAAACCUGUUCAAGUUAAGCCGACAAUCAGAACCUCCGACCCAUACAUUGUGGAACCUGUCCGUCAAACAAGUGCAUCAACUACCGCACCAUCAGUGAGGGAAAAAGUGAUUCCCAUCUCACUCGCUGCUGUCUUUGCAGUCAUUAUUGCAGUCUUUGUUGCCUUGUAUCGACGUAAAACAAACUCACACCAGAGCUUCCAGGUCUGACAGUUUCCUGACAGCCCUGUGAGGAACAAAAAAAAAAAAAGAGCUCCGAUGCAGGAGUGGGGCUCAAAUGUAUCAUGCAGACAUCUUGGACAAACAGUCGCAGGUCAGGUUGGGUUGUCCCCAAAGUCAGGACAGAUUCCUGCAGAACACGAGGAGAAGAUGCUGAAGAAACGGCAUCUGCUGCUGGAAGUGCUUUGUUUGUUUAUGGAUCUAAGAUUCUUUCUGCGGGUACAGAGAAAAUCUGUGUUUAUGGAUUCAAGAAGAAAAGUGUUUCAGUAAACUUUUUGUUUUUAAUUUUCAUAUCUGUUGUGACUCAUUUGUAUAAAAUGUUAUAAACACACUUUGAUCACAUCAUUUAGGGUUUUCUUUCAUUCUUAUAAUCAUAAUGUUGGUUCUGUUUUGAAUAGUGCAUUGGUGUCUGUGACGCCCUUUAAAUUAAUUGCUGCUUUGCAGAUUCAUUAAUUAAUCUUAUAAAUGGAAACUAAAUCAUUUUAUGUUAUUUGAGUAUUUUUGUUUUUAUAUAUACAUCAUGUAUGGUUUUCUGUGUAUCAGCUGCUAAUUU